rnacentral:lncRNA from 1 species
UUAGACCACUGUUGAUUUGUUGAAAAAGAAGUUAUCAGAAUCCAUUUCUGAUGCAAAAGAGACUCAGAGUGGGUCCUGCAUGGCGAGCCCAGCACGAGGCUCCUCCACCAGAAAUACCUCACCAGGGAUGGUAGGGAUGAGUGGUGUGUGGUGGUGGCUGGGGAGCCACCUGGAAAGGAGAGUUUUCCCUAAAGACCCAGCUCCAGGCCAGCCCCCUGCUGGUAAUUAACCUCUGUCACCUUGCACUUCCUGAACCCAAGAAUAAAAGUACAGCAGAAACAGCAGCCAUGAAGCAGGAAAGCCUACAAAUGCCACACCUUGCCCCUGUGCAGGUGGGGCCGGACCCUGUGAGUGGACUAGGGGAUCUCCUGUUGCUGUGUGUGCUCUGCAGCCAUACUUAACCAAAUGUCGCGGUCACCCGCAGAGACGACCUGGAGGGGGAGAAAUGGAGAUGCUGCAGAGGAUAGUUUGGUAAUGAAAAGAGUAAAUAUUUUGUUUAAGUUAGAAAUCACCCAUAUUUCCUUCCCACUGUGGAUGCGCUAGGGUUCUGAGGAGGAGCCCACAGGCAUCAGUAGCAGUCCUGAGAACACCAUUGUUGGCCCCCAGGUGACUGGUGACCCUGCGCUGGAUUCAGCCCACGCCCUCUGCAUACAAGCCAGGGGAGCGCUGUCACCUUAGGAGAUCCCCUCUCAGUGGCUGAUGUCAGUGUCCCCUGCUUUUGUGUGUCCCCCCGCCCCGCCCCAGAUGUUGACCAUAAAUGAGUUGCAGGCACAAAAGAAAUGGAGGGAAGCCUUGUGGUAGGAGCAUGUCCAGGAACAGGCUGUCUGCAGAGGUAAAGGAUGGUUGAGGACAUGGUGGCUUCUCCUUACCCACCAUGCUCUCAUGGCUUGCGAGGCAGAAUUAUGGAAGCAUUACUUAAUACACGUAUUAAAAAUCAAUAUUCUAAACACAAAGGAUGAAACUAGGACUAUCUGGGGUUACAAUAAAAGCUCUUCUCAAUUAGAUCUUUUAGAGCUGGGUGUACAUUAUGCCAUAUAAAAACAAGCGAGUUCUUUAACAACAACACUCUAGUAAUGAACAUUUUAGCCUACUUUUUAUAGCGUGUACAUUAAAGUGGACUAUAGCAAACAACCACCGUGAGAGCGACUGUGACCAGCGUUCCAUUUGCACUGGAACAGGCGUCAUCCAGUGGAGUGAAGUGGUGGAUGAGUGGCAACCAGGAAGGCCCUCCACAGCAGAGAUCCAUCGAUGGAAAAUCGACCUUUGAACUGCUGUCUGACCUGGUAGCUUUUGGGAUGGUGAUGUCUGAGAACCAGGGCGCUCUCCCUAGUCUUCCUUGUGGAUUCACACAGACAGUUGCUGUCCGAGAUUAAAGGCUGCCCCCACUUUUGUCCCUUUGCACUUUGAACAGAGGUCAUGGCGACACCUGGUCUGAUGAGAAGAAAGGUCGAGACAGUGUGGAUAUACUGUACGGGGUGAGAGUUUAUUAUAUGUGUCUAUCAGCCCUCAGCGCUGUGGAUAUAUAUACUGUAGAGCUUAUGAUAUGUGUCAAUCAGUCCUCUGAAUCUUUUUACUGAAACUGGGAUAGAAAAAUAAAGAUCCAAUGGUAUUUUG